UUUUUUUUUUAGAAAUUAAAAACCAACUAAUAAAUAAAUAAAACAAUUCAUUACUUUGCAGUCGUUGUUUAUGUUCAAUUUCUUA
rnacentral:ribozyme from 1 species